AUUGAACGCUGGCGGCAUGCUUUACACAUGCAAGUCGAACGGCAGCACGGGCUUCGGCCUGGUGGCGAGUGGCGAACGGGUGAGUAAUAUAUCGGAACGUACCCAGAAGUGGGGGAUAACGUAGCGAAAGUUACGCUAAUACCGCAUACGAUCUAUGGAUGAAAGCAGGGGACCGCAAGGCCUUGUGCUCCUGGAGCGGCCGAUAUCUGAUUAGCUAGUUGGUGAGGUAAAGGCUCACCAAGGCGACGAUCAGUAGCUGGUCUGAGAGGACGACCAGCCACACUGCAACUGAGACACGGUCCAGACUCCUACGGGAGGCAGCAGUGGGGAAUUUUGGACAAUGGGCGCAAGCCUGAUCCAGCAAUGCCGCGUGAGUGAAGAAGGCCUUCGGGUUGUAAAGCUCUUUUGUCAGGGAAGAAACGGUAGAGGCUAAUAUCCUUUGCUAAUGACGGUACCUGAAGAAUAAGCACCGGCUAACUACGUG
rnacentral:rRNA from 1 species